GGCGCAGGCUGGACGGUCGCCCCGCACCUUUUUAAUAUUCGAAUUACGUAUUUAGCAUUUUGAAUAUAUAAAAGGUGCGGGGAGGAAAGUCCGGGCUCUACAGGGCAGCGUAGCGGGUAAUUCCCGUCUCCCGCACCUUUUAUAUAUUCAAAUUACCUGAUCCAAUAUUUUGAAUCUAUGAAAAGGUGCGGGACGGAUAAGAGCCACAGAGACGAGUCUCCCGCACCUUUUUAUCAUUCAAAUCGGGUAUUAAAUUUUUGAAUACAUAAAAGGUGCGGGAGGGUGAAACGCGGCAAUCUCUACGCGGAGCAAAACCAAAUAGGUCUCGCCGUAAGAAUGGCCCGUUCAUAAGGGCGAGACGGGUAGGUCGCAUGAUCCUGACAGCAAUGUCAGGGCAAGAUAGAUGAUCGUUACCCCGCACCUUUUUAUCUAUUCAAAUUACCUGAUCCAAUAUUUUGAAUAUAUAAAAGGUGCGGGGGAACAGAACCCGGCUUAUAGGCCUGUGCCUUUC
rnacentral:RNase_P_RNA from 1 species